GUGUCACAGACAAGAAAAAGUAGAGAAAGAUGGGACACCUUUUCCUUAAAUUUUCUCGUCCCUACACGAUUAUGAUAUUAAGAUGUUAUGUGCUAAAGGUGUCCUGUCUUCCCCGACCAAACUAUAUACGUCAUUGAUGAUAUAGAGCCUCGAACUGGGCAAGCUUUGGUUUAGCGGGAGUGUUGUAUAGUGACAUUACGCCAAUUUAAUAAACUCUAUGAUGUACGACCAUGAUUCAAAGCUUGUGACAUGCAAUGAAACAGAACACCCGUGUUAUAACGACUGUUGCUGCCCGGCACGCGAAUAUACAAGAUAGAUUAAUUCAUCACGUUCCCUUUGGCUGGAGUCUAGACUGGAAAUGAUUGCAAAAUAAUAACUGAGAAAACACGAUCGAAAACCAAGAAGAGAAUCGACAGACUCAUUUCUAAGCAGAUUGUUCGGAAAUCAUAAAACGCUUAAAUACGCGCACUUAGACCAAGUUGGUUCAUUGUACAGAAAGCAACGAUGUGCGUGGUUGGUUUGUGUCAAGGUUUUACUUUUGUAAUAUGAAUAAGUCAGCGCUUCUCCUCUUGCUCGUCAUCGGACUCCUCGUCCUCACCGAAAUCGAAGCCGCCAGCGUCCCGGAGAGCAUGGGGCCCCAUUGGGUUCAUUCCCGCCGUCGAGCCCCACUGGUGAAUAACCGCCGUAGAUGGAAUUGGAAUCAAGCACCAAAAGCCGAUGAAUUGGCAGACAUGCAGGAAGCAGUCGAUCGCUUUCUUGAAUAAAGUGGUGGACAGUUGGUGCCUACUGUUAUUACUAGUUCACCCGACGUGUAAAACGUAAUCUGCUUGUUUCAAUAAACCAACACAAGUUAAA